rnacentral:rRNA from 1 species
AUGAGCAUGAUACUCAUCGCCAUGUCUUUUGUGCUGAUGUUCUCAGCAGCUGCGCCAGAAGUCUCUGGAGCCACCGGAGGGCUCUUGCAUAUCCCUACUACCAACUCCUUGGCUCACUGCAUCCCAAGGUGCGGGGACGUCGACAUCUUCUAUCCCUUUGGUAUGGGGCCCGGCUGCUUCCGUCAAGGCUUCGGUCUCACCUGCGACCAAUCCACCAAGCAUCCCAAGCUCUUUUUAGGCAGCAGCACUGUCCAGGUUACUGACAUGUACUACGCCUAUGCUUCUACCCCUAUAAACAUCAAGCUUGCAACAAGGCCAGGUACAGAUACCUACAACAUGUCAUGGGAGGCCCCUUCUAAAGGUAUUACUAUCAGCAGUGAUAAUACUUUGUACGUAGUUGGUUGUGAUUUUGACUUCACCUUGUUCGAGUAUGGUACGGAAGAGAAGGUUUGUUCUUGUAUGAGUAGAUGCGCCGGCGAGAAGGCAGCAACUGGAGGGCCUUGUAAUGGGAUAGGUUGCUGCCUCAUCCUGUUACCAAGGGACCUGCAAGGCUUUCAGGCAGAACAUGUCAGCACUAAUAUAACUGCAACCCAAUCAGAUUGGUUGCACCCUGGUAUCAUGGCUGUCGUGUCACGGGCUGAGUAUUACAUGUAUAAUACAACCAAUCUUUUCUCAAGUUGGACAGAUGCAAGCAAUAUAGAUGAUGCGAUGCUUAGUGUUACCAUCAUGGACCAACCAAGCUGUCAAAGUCCACAAAUGAACAAUGGAGGCUAUGCCUGUAGCAACGAUAGCAGUUGCCAAAAUUCCUCAUCUGGUUGUGGUUACGGGUGUUACUGCUCUCCUUAUGAACAAGGCAACCCUUACAUUUUAGAUGGAUGCCUGGAAGAUUAUAACCCCAAGCCCAAAGGACACUGUCCCGCAUCAUGUGGAUGGCAACUUUAG